rnacentral:lncRNA from 1 species
UUUCUAUCUAAGAACAAUAUAUAUAAAUAUUAAUAUUUCAAAUGUAGAAAUUACAUACUCCAAUAUAUAUUAAAAUAGUAGAUGUUGGAAUCAUUACAACUAAUUAGAGUUAGAAAUUAACAGAAAAAAUAACAAAAAAAUCUCUUGAAAUUUGUACAGUUCUUCGAUCGAUCAUAAUCAAUUUCUUGUUCAGUAUUAUCUUGAGGUCCAACCUGAAAGAAUUAAAAAAAAUUACAAACUUAUUAAAAUAGUAUUGAGUUUGUAAAUAAAAUAAGAUUAAUAAAAAAGUAUCCAAUCAACAUUUUAAUGAAAAUUAUGCAUCUCUACCUUAUCCAAAAAAGGAAUAUGGGUGGACGCAAAUGAACCAAGAGAAUAUUUCUCUUCUGUCAUGAUAGACCUAAUGAUAAUUAGAUAAUAAGUGAACCUGCAAUCAAUAAGACAAAGUAAUUAACAAGUAUGACAUUAUUUUUCAUUGCUAUUAUCACAUUAAACUAACACGUAUAUCAAUUCCUAUCCUUUUGGGAGAAAAGUUCUAUUCAUAUGUCUAUCCUUCAAAAUGUUUAAAAUAGCAUUAAUUACAAAAGAUUCAAAAUAAUAGUAAAUCCUUCCUUGUCUUUAUCGAUUUCUUUAAUAAAAGAGAAAAAUAAUACAGGCAAUCUUAGAUUUUAGCACAAAGAUAUAAAGAGCAUAUUAGGAAUCUGAAAAUAAUAUUAAUAUAAACAAGAAUAUCCACUACAUUUCUUAAUUUGAGUACUACAACUUUAAAAGAAGGAAAAAAAAAACAGAAAAACGAAGUAAAAAGAAACUAUAUCUGCAUAAAACAUAUUGAAAACCAAUAGCAAAAGACCUUCAUCUUUAUUACUCUCAAACUAAAAAUUAUCUUUGUUGAAGCUAAACGAAGGUUUUGCCAGUUUCUAUAAUUACUUUCGGUACUACUCAACAAAAGUUUACACCAUUUACCAAGAAAAAUAAGAAAAAUACUGCAUUUUACUUGAAAAAACAUGAUUGGCAGAGAAGCAGGGAGGAAAAAGCAAUUGCACAAGUAUUGAGAAUAAAUCAAAGUGAUUAUAAGGAUCAUAGACAAACUAUCAUUAUUUGCACUAGCAUAUAAAGAGUUUUUCUGACUUACCAGCAGUCUCAAUCAUGUCAUCUACCAUAACUGCUGCCUUUCCCCUUACAUCACCUAUCAAAUUCAGCACUUGCAAGAUGAGAUUCACCAAAUAAAAUAAAAAAAAUCCUAGAAGGUGUUGUAGUUUAUAAUUAUAGUUUAUAAACUAAGAUUUAUCAUCAGUGAGGAAUAACAAUAAUAAUAAUAACAAGAAGAAAAAAUGUAGGAUAUGGUUUAGGUAACAUACAAAAGACUAAAAGACUUAAAGUGAAGGUAAACAUUCCGUUAUAUUCAAAAAGGUUCAUUGUAGUGUCCAACUCACCCCCAUACCAUACCCCAAAAUCAUAGUAUUCCAAAAGGCCACGUCCUUUUGAAUAGUGUCAAAGAACUUUGUAGCGAGAUCUAUUCGUCCACACCUGGUAUACAAAUCCAAGAGCGAAUUCGCUGCAAAAAGAUGAGUGUGAAAAAGUUUUCUCACCAGCAGACCAUGGACCUCUUUGCCUUGUUUUACUGAAGCUAGAUUUGCACAUCCUUAAACUAAACCCAUGAACUUCCAUUCCCAACUUGAAAAGUCCUAAUUCUCCUAAUACAGGUAGCNNNNNNNNNNNNNNNNNNNNNNNNNNNNNNNNNNNNNNNNNNNNNNNNNNNNNNNNNNNNNNNNNNNNNNNNNNNNNNNNNNNNNNNNNNNNNNNNNNNNNNNNNNNNNNNNNNNNNNNNNNNNNNNNNNNNNNNNNNNNNGUGCACGUUUCUCGCCAUCACCUCAUCCUCAAUUUCCGCACACACUGGCAGCACACUUACAAUGGUAACUAGGUCCAGUUGAAUCCGCGGCACGACCACAACCAUCUCCUUAAAAAACCUGAGCGCCUCCGUGUAAAAUCCAUAAAGAGAACACAAGCCAAUAAUAGUAUUCCACGACACCUUAUCCCUAUCCGCCAUUUCAUCAAAUACCUUCAUUGCAUCGUCAAGAAGCCUACAAUUCCCGUAAAAGGCCAAUAGGGUAUUCCCAACAAAGUAGUCUGUUAUAAGAGAUUAUAUUAUUGGAUUUGGAACCCAUGAAGAUUCACUCAACAGAGUUAUUAUUGUAAUUCGAGUCGAAGUUGAACCGUUGAAAACCUGAUUCGAAUACUCUAACAUGUUCAAGUUUCCUUGAAUCUAUCUUAUGGUUAAACAAAAAUGUGAGAUUGGGACAAAUCAGGAUAACUCAACAUUCAAAUAAUCCAUAUCAAUAACUUAAUUAGUCAAAUAAUCCUCAUCAAAACUAAAGAAGAGCGAAAUGAGAGACGAACCGGUGAGAAUGUUCGAACAACCCGUGAAACGUACCGCUGAAAGAAAACCACCACCAAACGCACCACCGGAGGAAAACGACCCACUAAGAGGUAGGAAAAGAAGUAGGGCAUAAGAAAUGGAGGAAGAAACUAAUUCUGAGAAAUCAAACAGAGUAAACAGAAUUACAAAUUGGAAGCCCUAAUACAAGAAUAGAGAAAACUCUGUGUGCCAAAAAUUAUUCAAAAAAAUCUGAAUUAUGAGAGACGAAGAUGAGAAGAGUUCUUUUGAAUUCUGAAUCGGAUGCACUGUGUUUUCUAGAUGUACCAUUAUGCCUCUGUUUUUUUUAAAAGGAUAUUGUCUCUCUCAAACCAUGCCUCCAAACCUUCAGUGUAUACAAAAUGCAAAAAGUAAGAGAAAUCUGAAUUUUUAAAUAACAAUCAAUAUUUUCAAGGGGUUUAGAAAACCCGAUGUCUUCUU